rnacentral:rRNA from 1 species
GAAACGACUGCUAAUACCGCAUAAGCCCACGGCUCGGCAUCGAGCAGAGGGAAAAGGAGCAAUCCGCUUUGAGAUGGCCUCGCGUCCGAUUAGCUAGUUGGUGAGGUAACGGCCCACCAAGGCGACGAUCGGUAGCCGGACUGAGAGGUUGAACGGCCACAUUGGGACUGAGACACGGCCCAGACUCCUACGGGAGGCAGCAGUGGGGAAUAUUGCACAAUGGGGGAAACCCUGAUGCAGCGACGCCGCGUGGAGGAAGAAGGUCUUCGGAUUGUAAACUCCUGUUGUUGAGGAAGAUAAUGACGGUACUCAACAAGGAAGUGACGGCUAACUACGUGCCAGCAGCCGCGGUAAAACGUAGGUCACAAGCGUUGUCCGGAAUUACUGGGUGUAAAGGGAGCGCAGGCGGGAGAACAAGUUGGAAGUGAAAUCCAUGGGCUCAACCCAUGAACUGCUUUCAAAACUGUUUUUCUUGAGUAGUGCAGAGGUAGGCGGAAUUCCCGGUGUAGCGGUGGAAUGCGUAGAUAUCGGGAGGAACACCAGUGGCGAAGGCGGCCUACUGGGCACCAACUGACGCUGAGGCUCGAAAGUGUGGGUAGCAAACAGGAUUAGAUACCCUGGUAGUCCACACCGUAAACGAUGAUUGCUAGGUGUUGGAGGAUUGACCCCUUCAGUGCC